rnacentral:rRNA from 1 species
AAUGAACGCUGGCGGUAGGCCUAACACAUGCAAGUCGGACGGCAGCACAGGAGAGCUUGCUCUCUGGGUGGCGAGUGGCGGACGGGUGAGGAAUACAUCGGAAUCUACUUUUUCGUGGGGAUAACGUAGGGAAACUUACGCUAAUACCGCAUACGACCUACGGGUGAAAGCAGGGGACCUUCGGGCCUUGCGCGAUUGAAUGAGCCGAUGUCGGAUUAGCUAGUUGGCGGGGUAAAGGCCCACCAAGGCGACGAUCCGUAGCUGGUCUGAGAGGAUGAUCAGCCACACUGGAACUGAGACACGGUCCAGACUCCUACGGGAGGCAGCAGUGGGGAAUAUUGGACAAUGGGCGCAAGCCUGAUCCAGCCAUACCGCGUGGGUGAAGAAGGCCUUCGGGUUGUAAAGCCCUUUUGUUGGGAAAGAAAUCCAGCUGGCUAAUACCCGGUUGGGAUGACGGUACCCAAAGAAUAAGCACCGGCUAACUUCGUGCCAGCCGCCGCAGUAA